AUACGGAGGGUGCAAGCGUUGUUCGGAAUCACUGGGCGUAAAGGGCGCGCAGGCGGUUUGGUAAGUCAGAUGGGAAAGCCCACGGCUCAACCGGGGAAGUGCAUUUGAAACUGCCAGACUUGAGUACCAGAGGGGAAAGUGGAAUUCCCGGUGUAGAGGUGAAAUUCGUAGAUAUCGGGAGGAAUACCGGUGGCGAAGGCGACUUUCUGGCUGGAUACUGACGCUGAGGCGCGAAAGCGUGGGGAGCAAACAGGAUUAGAAACCCUAGUAGUCC
rnacentral:rRNA from 1 species